AGGACGAACGCUGGCGGCGUGCUUAACACAUGCAAGUCGAGCGAGAGCCAGUCGAGGGGUAACCCUCGGCUGGGGACAGCGGCGAACGGGUGCGUAACACGUGGGCAACCUGCCCCUGACACUGGGAUAACCCCGGGAAACCGGAGCUAAUACCGGAUACUCUCGGCCGAUCACAUGGCUGGCCGAGGAAAGGUCCGCCGGUCAGGGAUGGGCCCGCGGCCUAUCAGCUUGUUGGUGAGGUAACGGCCCACCAAGGCGACGACGGGUAGCUGGUCUGAGAGGACGACCAGCCACACUGGAACUGAGAUACGGUCCAGACUCCUACGGGAGGCAGCAGUGGGGAAUAUUGCACAAUGGGCGAAAGCCUGAUGCAGCGACGCCGCGUGAGGGAUGGAAGGCCGUUCGGUGUAAACCUCGUUUCGGCGAGGACGAAGCGAUCAGUGACGGUACCUGACAGACGAACGACCCCGCUAACGUACGUCGCCAGCACGCCGAC
rnacentral:rRNA from 1 species